GACGAACUGUGCAAACGUUGUUCGGAAUCACUGGGCUUAAAGGGCGCGUAGGCGGGUGUGCAAGUCUGUGGUGAAAGCCUCCAGCUUAACUGGAGAAGUGCCGUGGAUACUGCGCAUCUUGAGGAGGGUAGGGGCAUCUGGAACGGUCGGUGGAGCGGUGAAAUGCGUUGAUAUCGACCGGAACUCCGGUGGCGAAGGCGGCUCACUGGACCACAACUGACGCUGAGGCGCGAAAGCUAGGGGAGCAAACAGG
rnacentral:rRNA from 1 species